GGUAAAAUGGCUGAAAUUUAAAGCGAUAAACUGUAAAUUUAUUUAUGAAUAUAAAUUCUUUUACCA
rnacentral:tRNA from 1 species